AAUUAACUCUAAUCUCCCGCCCCUAUUCCGACAGCCUCCUGCUCUCUCCCACUUUCUCUAUUUCGUCCCCUCCACCUCCUCACUCCAUUCCCCCUCUCUCUUGCCGCCUCCCCUUCUCUCUCUUUACCCUCCGAACUUUCGGGAUCCGGAUGCUCGGCGAGUCUCCCUCGGCCGCCAUCGCCUGCUCCGCCGCGCCCAAGCGGGGCGCGCCGAAGAAGCGGGGCAACUACAACUGCGGACGAUGCGGCCUCCCGAAGAAGGGCCACGUUUGCCCCGCCGGCGAUGGCCACGUCCUCCCCCCUCGCUCUGAUCACCGCCUCCGCCGUUCCCUCUCCUUUGACGAGGACCGGACUCCGGCACCCGUCUCGGCGACGCCAGCGAUGGAGGAGGAGGAGGUAGCGGAGACUUCGGUGGCUGCGGCGCCGGCGGCGGCGGAUGAGGAGGAGGUGGAGGUGGGCGGCGGGGUUCUGCCGGUGUCAUGCCUGGUGGAGGUACUGAGGCGGCUGUCGCCCAAGGAGCUGAUGGGGGCGGCGGCGGUCUGCCGGGGAUGGAUGGAGUGCGUGAAGAGAGUAUGGCGAUCCGCGGAGGAGCUUAGGCUUAGGGUUUCUCCUCGAUCUCAGAUCGGUUUCGUUGGAUCGGUGCUCCACAAGUGUGCCGGACUGGCCCGGCUUACGCUGAGGAUAGAAAGUGAUGUUGAUGCUACAUUGCUAGCUUGUGUUGCAUUCUCGUGCCCUAGUUUAGAAGCUUUUGAGAUCAAUAUUGGCGACAAUGCAGUCAAUCAGAUAACUGGGGAUGAAUUGGGUCGUUUUGUUGCUGAGAAACGGUGUCUUUCAAUUCUGAAAGUGGAGGGUUGCACUAGUCUUGGGUUUCUCAACCUCUAUUCUUCAAGCCUGUCAAUUCUCUGGCUUUCAGACCUUUGUUGCAUUUCAAAAAUGGUUAUUAGCUGUCCUAAUCUGAAAGAGCUUUCUCUUGAUUUUACUCGACAAGAAAAUGAUUCUACAGAUCUUGUUACUGUUAUGGAUAGUUUGGGCCGUACCUGUCCACGACUGAGAAAUAUGCAUAUUGCAUCAAUUCAACUUUGUAAUGAAGCUGUGCUUGCUUUAGCAAGCACAAACCUAAGGGUCAGGGGCUUGCGCAUGCUGUCACUUGUUCUUGGUUCAAGGAUCACAGAUGCAGCUGUGGCUGCUAUAGUUUCAAGUUAUUCAAGUCUAGAGUUGCUUGACUUGAGUGGGUCAAGCAUUAGUGACAGUGGGAUUGGAAUGAUAUGCAAUACAUUCUCUCAGACGCUAUCUAGACUCCUCCUUGCUCUCUGUCCUAACAUUACUUCAAGUGGAAUCCAAUUUGCUACAGCACAAUUACCACUUCUUCAGCUAAUUGACUGUGGGAUGAGCAUAUGUGCCAUUAACUCUCAAUAUGAAAGUCCUGAAGAAAAUGGGUUGAUUGGUAAUGAAGGUAGCGGAGAACUCGGAAGGUGUCAGAAAUCACCUAUGCCAAAGCCACAACCAAUUUACCAAAAACUAAUUAUAAAACAUGGGUGUUUGAGAAAGAUCAGUUUAUGGGGUUGUUCUGGUUUAGAUGUAUCAGUCUGUGGCUAUCUUCAUUCAGGAUUAGACGCCAAAAUAAAUUCUCAUUAUCAAUUUUAUGCUUUGCAAAAUUUUCCCCAGAGAGGUUGUUGCUCCAGUGUCCCAAUUUGGAACAUGUACACGCUUCUGGGUGUCAAGAUAUGUUAAUUGGAGCAAUCCGAAACCAGGUUCUUAAUGAGUUUGCUGCUGUUCAAAACCAUUUACCAUGCAAGCGGCUUGCUGAUGGCUCCAAAAGGGUUCAGGUCCCUGGAUAUCCUCUCCAGCAGCCAUCUGAUGAUGGGAAGCACAAAAGGUUGCGGCAGACCCCGUGCACUAUGCAUCUUGAUUGAUGAUUCUCUUGUAUACCUUUCAGACUGAUCCCGUCCUAGCAGUUGCAAUCUGUUUAUUACUGGUGAUGUUCUCACUUACUGUUGAACUGUAGACCUGAAACUCCAAUUUGUGUUGUCUCGACUGUAUUUCUGGGCUGCUUUCAUCAUUCCAGAUAAAUGGGUUUGCCUUUGUAAAACGGGACUGUUUGUCGUAGAGGAAUAAAUUGCAGCCUACAUGUCUAACUUUUCUUUUCAGAAAUAAAGUUUAACAUGAUUGAAA